rnacentral:rRNA from 1 species
UACGAAGGGGGCUAGCGUUGCUCGGAAUCACUGGGCGUAAAGGGUGCGUAGGCGGGGCUUUAAGUCAGGGGUGAAAUCCUGGAGCUCAACUCCAGAACUGCCUUUGAUACUGAAGAUCUUGAGUCCGGGAGAGGUGAGUGGAACUGCGAGUGUAGAGGUGAAAUUCGUAGAUAUUCGCAAGAACACCAGUGGCGAAGGCGGCUCACUGGCCCGGUACUGACGCUGAGGAGCGAAAGCGUGGGGAGCGAACAGG